rnacentral:lncRNA from 1 species
GGCAAUCCCUUGUGGCAGAGCCGCCCUUGAUGUUGGACAAAUCAAACGUGUGGGCGACGGUUCUUCCAUUCAACCUUGAAUGGAAGAUAGAAGAUGUUCCAAGCACUCGGCCUCCAGGUCCCCAGCUUCGCAUUACUCCAAGCACUCGGCCUCCAGGUCCCCCCAGCUUCGCAUUACUCCAAGCACUCGGCCUCCAGGUCCCCAGCUUCGCAUUACUCCAAGCACUCGGCCUCCAGGUCCCUCCGGACUCAAGCUCCAGCAAUAGAAGAUGUUGUCGCCCCUGCAAAAGCCGAAUUCAUGAGACGCA